rnacentral:rRNA from 1 species
GGCGGUAUGCUUACACCUGCAGUCGAACGGAACUUCGGGUUUAGUGGCGGACGUGUGAGUAACGCGUGAGAAUCUGCCUCUAGGUCGGGGACAACCAUUGGAAACGAUUGCUAAUACCCGAUGUGCAGCAAUGUGAAAGAUUUAUUGCCUAGAGAUGAGCUCGCGUCUGAUUAGCUAGUAGGUGUGGUAAUGGCGCACCUAGGGCGACGAUCAGUAACUGGUCUGAGAGGAUGACCAGUCACACUGGGACUGAGACACGGGCC